UACGGAGGGGGCUAGCGUUGUUCGGAAUUACUGGGCGUAAAGCGUACGUAGGCGGCUUUGUAAGUUAGAGGUGAAAGCCCGGGGCUCAACCCCGGAAUUGCCUUUAAGACUGCAUCGCUAGAAUCAUGGAGAGGUAAGUGGAAUUCCGAGUGUAGAGGUGAAAUUCGUAGAUAUUCGGAAGAACACCAGUGGCGAAGGCGACUCACUGGACAUGUAUUGACGCUGAGGUACGAAAGCGUGGGGAGCAAACAGG
rnacentral:rRNA from 1 species